ACUCCUACGGGAGGCAGCAGUGGGGAAUAUUGCACAAUGGGCGCAAGCCUGAUGCAGCCAUGCCGCGUGUAUGAAGAAGGCCUUCGGGUUGUAAAGUACUUUCAGCAGUGAGGAAGGUGGAUGCGUUAAUAGCGUAUUCAUUUGACGUUAGCUGCAGAAGAAGCACCGGCUAACUCCGUGCCAGCAGCCGCGGUAAUACGGAGGGUGCGAGCGUUAAUCGGAAUUACUGGGCGUAAAGCGCAUGCAGGUGGUUUGUUAAGUCAGAUGUGAAAGCCCGGGGCUCAACCUCGGAAUUGCAUUUGAAACUGGCAGACUAGAGUACUGUAGAGGGGGGUAGAAUUUCAGGUGUAGCGGUGAAAUGCGUAGAGAUCUGAAGGAAUACCGGUGGCGAAGGCGGCCCCCUGGACAGAUACUGACACUCAGAUGCGAAAGCGUGGGGAGCAAACAGGAUUAGAUACCCUGGUAGGAUAGGG
rnacentral:rRNA from 1 species